rnacentral:rRNA from 1 species
GUGUCAGCCGCCGCGGUAAAACGUAGGGGACAAGCGUUAUCCGGAUUUACUGGGCGUAAAGCGCCCGUAGGCGGCUUGAUAAGUUGGACGUGAAAGCUCCCGGCUUAACUGGGAGAGGCCGUUCAAAACUGCCAAGCUAGAGUGAGGAAGAGGAGAGCAGAAUUCCCGGUGUAGUGGUGGAAUGCGUAGAGAUCGGGAGGAAUGCCAGUGGCGAAAGCGGCUCUCUGGUCCUAAACUGACGCUGAGGGGCGAAAGCGUGGGGAGCGAACGGGAUUAGAUACCCCCGUAGUCC